ACAUUGAAACAGGGGUGCUGCCUGAUGUUUAGGCGGCUGAGAAAUACCCUUUACACCCGAUCGGGAUAAUACCUGCGUGGGGAGUUUUCACGGAUUCUGC
rfam:Neisseria meningitidis MC58, complete genome.